rnacentral:rRNA from 1 species
GACGAACGCUGGCGGCGUGCUUAACACAUGCAAGUCGAACGGAAAGGCCCUGCUUUUGUGGGGUGCUCGAGUGGCGAACGGGUGAGUAACACGUGAGUAACCUGCCCUUGACUUUGGGAUAACUUCAGGAAACUGGGGCUAAUACCGGAUAGGAGCUCCUGCUGCAUGGUGGGGGUUGGAAAGUUUCGGCGGUCGGGGAUGGACCCGCGGCUUAUCAGCUUGUUGGUGGGGUAGUGGCUUACCAAGGCUUUGACGGGUAGCCGGCCUGAGAGGGUGACCGGCCACAUUGGGACUGAGAUACGGCCCAGACUCCUACGGGAGGCAGCAGUGGGGAAUAUUGCACAAUGGGCGGAAGCCUGAUGCAGCAACGCCGCGUGCGGGAUGACGGCCUUCGGGUUGUAAACCGCUUUCGCCUGUGACGAAGCGUGAGUGACGGUAAUGGGUAAAGAAGCACCGGCUAACUACGUG